AUUGAACGCUGGCGGCAGGCCUAACACAUGCAAGUCGAGCGGAUGAAGGGAGCUUGCUCCUGGAUUCAGCGGCGGACGGGUGAGUAAUGCCUAGGAAUCUGCCUGGUAGUGGGGGAUAACGUCCGGAAACGGGCGCUAAUACCGCAUACGUCCUGAGGGAGAAAGUGGGGGAUCUUCGGACCUCACGCUAUCAGAUGAGCCUAGGUCGGAUUAGCUAGUUGGUGGGGUAAAGGCCUACCAAGGCGACGAUCCGUAACUGGUCUGAGAGGAUGAUCAGUCACACUGGAACUGAGACACGGUCCAGACUCCUACGGGAGGCAGCGGUGGGGAAUAUUGGACAAUGGGCGAAAGCCUGAUCCAGCAAUGCCGCGUGUGUGAAGAAGGUCUUCGGAUUGUAAAGCACUUUAAGUUGGGAGGAAGGGCAGUAAGUUAAUACCUUGCUGUUUUGACGUUACCAACAGAAUAAGCACCGGCUAACUUCGUG
rnacentral:rRNA from 1 species